GUGCUCACUUUGGCAGCAUAUAUGCUAAAAUUGGAAUGAUACAGAGAAGAUUAGCAUGGCCCCUAAACUGAAAAACAAAAAAUUGAACUUUAAAAAAACAAA